GUGGCUGUUAGUCUGGGUGAGUUUAGAUAGGAAUGUGUCAUUCAUACAAUGCAGACAGGGAAGGGCUUUGAAGUGUAUGAAACUGGUUUCUGUCCGGUGCUAUUUAAGGAAGCACAGUGCAGGCCUUUUUUACUCAGAGCCAAGGUGGAGAGUCUUUCCCAAGGUGAUCUAAUUCCCAGGGUUGGGUGGCGUGCAGCGCUGGCCAGUCUCCUUGCAUUUGGCCUGACAUUGCCCUCGGCUGAGCCCAGCUGCUGCACGCUUGGGAGCAGAGUGUCGGCUGCCCUGGAAGGAAGCUGUUUCUCUGGUACCUAACACAGUCUCUGGAGCAUAAGAGGCACCAACAAGUAUUUGUUAAAUGACCAAAUCCAUUUAUCUCUUUGAUAUUCUGUUCAUCCGGACACCUGGGUUUGUCUCCUCUAAGACAACUUCUGCUGAGUAACUUCUGAAGAGGAAGAGAUGGAGGUUUAUGGAAAGUCAGCAAUUUGCCUGAAACCACAUGGCUGGGAAGUGGUAGGCCUGGGCCUUUAUGAGAUACCAGUGCUGCCUUCAGCAGCCGGCUGCCCACCCUCUGUUUCCUCUUUCACCCUCUGUCGGGCUAGCUGCUUUCCAGAAGAUCCAAGCUGUUUGACCCGUCAGCAUCUCACGGAAGUCCCAUCAGAGAAUAGACUAGCGUGCGGAUGAUGGCGAACUUGUGUGUUUGUUUAAUCGGCCUUGGUUUGAGGUUGCUACCAUUAUGAGCUCUAAAAAGCAGAGUGAUUUCAUCAUGACACUCGUAGGCUGAAAGCAUACGUAUGGAAGAAGA